GGUUCCCGUCUUACUAAAACUUUGUAUCUGUAUUUAUUUUAGGACAACAUUCCAAUGAUUUUAAAUACUAUUCGUGCAAUGAACACCAAAAAUCCCACCUUUUGUGUGGAUCUAUAUAUACGUUUAUGGAGAAUCGAAGGACGAACUUAUCCCUUCCUUAAAAAAACUCUUAUCACAAUCACAUAAAGAGCUAGGCGGAACCGAUCUCUCAGAAUUUGAAAUAACAAAAACUUAUGUCAUCAAGGAAAUUUGCUCAGAAAGACCAAAUCAAUACGGUUCUGAUCUAGUAUCUCAUCUAUCAGACACACUUAACACAUGUACUGAUAAAAAUGGCGACCUAGCUACGUCAUUGGCCUUAGAUUCCAUAGUAUCGCUGUGUGAAAGUCAUACUGUAAACAUUAUGAAGGCAUUAUAUUGUCCCAUCGAUACGUCACUGAACUAUCAACAAGCAAACAAGCUGAUUAAGGAACCAAAACCUAGUGUCUUGGUUAUUCCUGAAAACUAUAAAAAACCGCAUCCAAUUGCUCCACAACUUUAUAUUGAACAACCGGACAAGAAAAUCAUCACUUUCAAAUGUGGCGAAACCAUUCGAUUGCCACUCAAACGAAAAAUGGAUCGAGUCUAUCUUAAAUCUGAAUUAGCAUCAAAAUUGUUCCUCGUGAAACAACUCCCGGUGUGACUAUAUCCACAUUAACUGGAAUUCUUGAAGUCAAAGAUAAAGUAAAUAAUAUUGCUCCAUGUGAUGAUGAAUCGGAUAGUAAAGCAAAUACAAGUGCUGGCACAACUCUACAUCCACCACUCUACAGAAGUUCUAAAGAAAGUUAAAUAUGAAUAUGGAGGAGUCGAUAUAGAUUCCAUAUUGGCGCAAGAUGGAAUAACAGAUAUUAAAACAGAACGAAUUGGAGGUGUAUUAACGAUAAGCAUACCAAGUGAAGAUACGAUAAUUAAAAUUGAUGAAAACUCAACGCAUAUUGUGUGUGGGGGUAAGCAGUCGUUGAGACUGAAAUUGAGAGAUUCCCUAAUGAAAUGUGUGCAGCAGCAAUUUGCACAUUCUCAAAAACCACCCGGCCGAGUGCACCACAUUCAAACCCAAUUUUCAUUGGGAAAAGAAUUAACCCCUUUACCCGAAGGUACACCAAUGCAUCCGGAUGUGAUGCGAAUGACUGGGAAUCGACAGCAGAAUAACGAAUCAGCAGGAGAUAUCAACAAAGGAAGGAAUCAACAAAGGAGGGAAUACUAGACAUCCAAAAGUACACAAACAACAGCAGCAACA